ACACAUUUGUGAAGGAAUUUUUACUCCCCAAAAGAGCGCCCCCCCAUGGCAGGAGAAAAAAGUCCAUUUUUUCUUGUCCCAUAAGGUGAAAAAACACAUUGUUGAGAUUCACGCCUAUACGCUUUGUCAUAUUGACACAAAAUUUGACAAUCACGUGCCUUGCCUGGUAUCAUUUUUUUCAGCACAACCUCACCUGUGCGAAUUUACAGUUAUUUUAUCAUGUUGACAUACUGAAUUUACACAAUGGACCCAAAUUCACACACAAAACAUAAAAUCCCAGUGGAAAAAAGUAACAUUUUUACUGUGAAAACCACAAAUAUGUGUGAUGAACUGUUUUUAAAACUUAAACUUCAAAUAAAAAUUGUAAACUUCAAAACAUAUGCAAAUUUUUAACAAAGAACAUAGUGAUUUACCUCUAUUUACAUCAAAAUGCAGGCAAUGGCCCAGGCGUUCUUUGUAAAAUUAUUUACAAAACACUGUAUAGUCUCACAAAUGUCACUUUUUAUUUAUGCCACUACAAAAAAACAUGAUGUAAAUGAUGCAUGAUGUAAAACAUGAUGUAAAAAACUUGUGUAGAUCCUCCUGUAUGUCAGUCCAUGUGUAAUUUUUCCAUAAUUCUUUGUUUUUUGCAGCAUUUUUGUUAGUGUAACUGCAGAUUGUGCUGACAGUGUCUAUGGCACAAAAAAAAAAAAAAUUAAAAUGCCUCAACAUGAACCCCUGGUGGUCUCUGAGGGUGAAACCUGCUAACUGCUGCAGCUCUGUCAGCUUCAGUCUCCCAUGCAGAGCUCUGAGCGCAUGUGUGGCUCUGCACCCUUAGCAGCGUUGCUAACUCCUCAGUAAGGAAAGCCUGCUUCAUGUCAGAGUCUCUAAACUCCAGAAGAAGUCGAUAAAAGUCCCUUUCUUUCUAAAAAAAAGUCGUUAGGGGGUCUGAAAAGUCAUUGAAUCUAACAACAAAGUCGCUAGGUUUGCAACUACGUGUCCCAGACUGCAUCCCUGCUGAGAGUCCCUCCCUCCCUUCUCAUGUUGCAGGAAGAACGUAAGCGCCCGCCCCUUGUCAAUCAGUCACCAUAUAAUUUUGGAUUGGUUGUUGUGGUGAAGUUUUCCACCAAUAGGAGAGAUGUUGUGGUGUGUUUUUUUUUUCUUUUGGCAAGCCUUUUCCGCCUGUAAGAGCUGUCGCUAAUGUCUGCAUGCUAUGUUUUCCUGUCUCAUACAGCGCGAUCGAGCGCCGAACGUGAUCAAAAUAAGCAGAAAAAAAGUAUCGCGGACAUAAUUUAUCAUAACUCUGGUUUUAUUUGGCCUAUCAACACAAUUUAAAAACUGGUAUAUAGGUUGAGGUCCUCACUUUUGAGAUAAGUUGAAACGGAGAGUCAACGAGGCUCCGUCUUGCAGCUACAUCCGGUUAAAUAUGUCAUGUGACUUGAACGCACACACAGACACACACACGCACACACACACACACACACACACACACACACACACACACACACACACACACACACACACACACACUCAGAGUCUGGUUUUUAGCACCUGCAAAAACAUGCUAUUUACAUAUUUGACAAGAAUGCAGAGGCUCCUUUUGCCCCUGAAAAAAAUCAAAUUUCAAACACAACUUGACUGGUCAUUUCUCCAAAAGACAACCAUGAAGCUCCAUCCAAACCUGAAGCAGGCAGUUGGUGCAUGUGUACAGUAACCUGAGGGGAGUGAGGUGAGUGCUUCUGAGGAGAACAUGAGCAGUGAAGAUUCACCUUGGAGCUAGAACAGAGACAUGCACAUGAUUAUACAGGGGCAGGGGCUCAAGUUUUUUCCAGUCGUUUAUACAAUAUGGAAAUUAAUGUGAAAUUAAAACACAAAGUAUUAAUAGAAAGGUAAUGACUGUCUCGGUAGGUGACAGUGAUAUCCAAUAGGCUAGGCACUCACGAGGCUGGCUGUGGCAAGUGUAAGUGAAAGCAACACGCACUGGCAGGAAGAACAGCAAACGCCGAUGAAGGAAAAGGGUCUUUGCAGUGAUGGGCGUUACCAGAGAGGGCGAUGGCCAGAGGACACAAAUGGGACGGGGAGGCAGCACGUUGGGGGGGGGGACGCGACACGGCUCGGGCCCGCCAGUGCCCCAACGGGGUCCUAGUUAGGGCCCGAGCGUAGCUGCUAAGCAGCUGCGAGAGCCCUCUUGUUCCUGUAGUUUCCUUCUUUUGUUAUUAGGGCCCGAGCGUAGCUGCUAAGCAGCUGCGAGAGCCCUCUUGUUCCUGCAUGUUUCCUUCUUUCGUUAUUAUUUUUCCUCCGCUUUAAACUGGAAAAUGGCCCACUUCCCACUGGCGAAAACUCAGGAAAUUUGGCAGGACGACCGGGCCUGGUGAAAAAUUCGAUAUUCUGAAGUCGCCCAAACAAUAAAAUGCAAAAUGGCUCCAUAGCGCCCCCUAAGGUGAAAAUUCACAUGACGGCUGUACGCUUUGUCAUAUUGACACAAAAAUUGACACACACAUGUAUCUCAAUAAGAUCUACAAAAAAGUCAGUGCGGGCGUAUCUGUCAAAUGUACGGUUAAUGGGUUAUUUUGCAUUUUUUGCAGAUCUGCACACAUUGGAAUUUCGCUAACUCCUCCGAAGGCUUUCGUUCGACCGGCACCACAUUUGCGCAGGCCAAUCUACCCCCCAUGGCCAUUAAAAGUUGUACAAAUCAUGACGCUGCACCCCACGGUUUACGUUCUAGGGGGCGCCAAAGAUAACCCAAAAUCCACAUAUUUAAAAGUCUUAUAACUUUUUAUUUUUGUCCUCACUGCCCUCCAAGUUUUCUAGGAUGAUGCAAUGUCCAGCCAUCAACACAUUUGUGAAGGAAUUUUUACUCCCCAAAAGAGCGCCCCCCCAUGGCAGGAGAAAAAAGUCAAUUUUUUCUUGUCCCCUUACAUGAAAAUACACAUUGUUGAGUGUCACGCCUGUACGCUUUAUCAUAUUGACACAAAAAUUGACAAUCAUGUGUAUCUCAAUUAGAUCUACGAAAAAGUCAAAAAGCGCGUAUCUGUAUAAUGUACGGUUAAAGGGCUAUUUCGCAUUUUUUGCCGAUUCGCACACAUUGGAAUGUGGCUAUCUCCUCCUAAGGCUUUCGUCCCACCGAUACCAAAUUUGCUCAGGGCAAUCUACACCCCAUGCCCAUUCAAAGUUGUAAAAAUCAUGACGCUGCACCCCACGGUUUACGUUCUAGGGGGCGCCAAAGAUGACCCAAAAAUCCACAUUCUUAAAAGUCAUUUUGGCCACUGCAGGAGUACAGAGUACUGCAGUUCUAGGGGGCGCCAAAGAUUACCCAAAAAUCCACAUUCUUAAAAGUCUUUUUGGCCACUGCAGGAGUACAGAGUACUGCAGGAUACACACACAUACACACACACACACACACACACACACACACACACACACACACACACACACACACUCAGAGUCUGUUUUUUAGCACCUGCAAAAACAUGCUGUUUACAUAUUUGACAAGAAUGCAGAGGCUUCCUUUUGCCCCUGAAAAAAAUCAGAUUUCAAACACAACUUGACUGUUCAUUUCUCCAAAAGACAACCAUGAAGCUCCAUCCAAACCUGAAGCAGAUAGUUUGUGCAUGUGUACAGUAACCUGAGGGGAGUGAGGUGACUAUUUCUGAGAAGAACAUGAGCAGUGAAGAUUCACCUUGGAGCUAGAACAGGGACGUGCACAUGAUUACACAGGGGCAGGGGCUCAAGUUUUUUCCAGUCAUUUAUACAAUAUGGAAAUUAAUGUGAAAUUAAACCACAAAUAUGUGUGAUGAACUGUUUUUAAAACUUAAACUUCAAAUAAAAAUUGUAAACUUCAAAACAUAUGCAAAUUUUUAACAAAGAACAUAGUAAUUUACCUCUAUUUACAUCAAAAUGCAGGCAAUGGCCCAGGCGUUCUUUGUAAAAUUAUUUACAAAACACUGUAUAGUCUCACAAAUGUCACUUUUUAUUUAUGCCACUACAAAAAAACAUGAUGUAAAUGAUGCAUGAUGUAAAACAUGAUGUAAAAAACUUGUGUAGAUCCUCCUCUAUGUCAGUCCAUGUGUAAUUUUUCCAUAAUUCUUUGUUUUUUGCAGCAUUUUUGUUAGUGUAACUGCAGAUUGUGCUGACAGUCUAUGGCAACAAAAAAAAAAACUGAAAAUGCCUCAACAUGAACCCCUGGUGGUCUCUGAGGGUGAAACCUGCUAACUGCUGCAGCUCUGUCAGCUUCAGUCUCCCAUGCAGAGCUCGGAGCGCAUGUGUGGCUCUGCACCCUUAGCAGCGUUGCUAACUCCUCAGUAAGGAAAGCCUGCUUCAUGUCAGAGUCUCUAAACUCCAGAAGAAGUCGAUAAAAGUCCCUUUCUUUCUAAAAAAAGUCGUUAGGGGGUCUGAAAAGUAAUUGAAUCUAACAACAAAGUCGCUAGGUUUGCAACUACGUGUUCCAGACUGCAUCCCUGCUGAGAGUCCCUCCCUCCCUUCUCAUGUUGCAGGAAGAACGUAAGCACCCGCCCCUUGUCAAUCAGUCACCAUAUAAUUUUGGAUUGGUUGUUGUGGUGAAGUUUUCCACCAAUAGGAGAGAUGUUGUGGUGUGUUUUUUUUUUCUUUUGGCAAGCCUUUUCCGCCUGUAAGACCUGUCGCUAAUGUGUGCAUGCUAUGUUUUCCUGUCUCAUACAGCGCGAUCGAGCGCCGAACGUGAUCAAAAUGAGCAGAAAAAAAGUAUCGCGGACAUAAUUUAUCAUAACUCUGGUUUUAUUUGGCCUAUCAACACAAUUUAAAAACCGGUAUAUAGGUUGAGGUCCUCACUUUGGAGAUAAGUUGAAACGGAGAGUUAACGAGGCUCUGUCUUGCAGCUACAUCCGGUUAAAUAUGUCAUGUGACUUGAACGCUGGGGAGCGUCAAUCGAAUCGAAUCAAACCUAACUCUCAGUUGAAUCUUUAAAAUUCACCUCAGAAAUAUGCUUAUUAUUCUUCUCAGAGUACUGCAGGAUACACACACACACACACACAGACACACACACACACACACACACACGCACGCACACACACACACACACACACACACACACACACACACACACACACACUCAGAGUCUGUUUUUUAGCACCUGCAAAAACAUGCUAUUUACAUAUUUGACAAGAAUGCAGAGGCUUCCUUUUGCCCCUGAAAAAAAUCAAAUUUCAAACACAACUUGACUGCUCAUUUCUCCAAAAGACAACCAUGAAGCUCCAUCCAAACCUGAAGCAGGCAGUUGGUGCAUGUGUACAGUAACCUGAGGGGAGUGAGGUGACUGCUUCUGAGGAGAACAUGAGCAGUGAAGAUUCACCUUGGAGCUAGAACAGGGACGUGCACAUGAUAAUACAGGGGCAGGGGCUCAAGUUUUUUCCAGUCGUUUAUACAAUAUGGAAAUUAAUGUGAAAUUAAAAAACAAAGUAUGACUGUCCUGUGUAGGUGACACUGAUAUCCAAUAGGCUAGGCACUCACGAGGCUGGCUGUGGCAAGUGUAAGUGAAAGCAACACGCACUGACAGGAAGAACAGCAAACGCCGAUGAAGGAAAAGGGUCUUUGCAGUGAUGGGCGUUACCAGAGAGGGCGAUGGCCAGAGGACACGAAUGGGACGGGGAGGCAGCGCGUUGGGGGGGGGGGGGGGGUGCGACAUGGCUCGGGCCCGCCAGUGCCCCAACGGGGCCCUAGUUAUUAUUUUUCCUCCCCUUUGAACUGGAAAAUGGCCCACUUCCCACUGGCGAAAACUCAUGAAAUUUGGCAGGACGACCGGGCCUGGUGAAAAAUUUGAUAUUCCGAAGUCGCCCAAACAAGAAAAUGCAAAAUGGCUCCAUAGCGCCCCCUAAGGUGAAAAUUCACACUAUUGACUGUCACGCCUGUACGCUUUGUCAAAAUGACACAAAAAUUGACACACACAUGUAUCUCAAUAAGAUCUACAAAAAAGUCAGUGCGGGCGUAUCUGUCAAAUGUACGGUUAAAGGGUUAUUUCGCAUUUUUUGCCGAUCCGCACACAUUGGAAUUUCGCUAACUCCUCCGAAGGCUUUCGUUCCACCGGCACCACAUUUGCUCAGGCCAAUCUACACCCCAUGGCCAUUAAAAGUUAUUCAAAUCAUGACGCUGCACCCCACGGUUUAGGUUCUAGGGGGCGCCAAAGAUAACCCUAAGAUCCACAUAUUUAAAAGUCUUAUAACUUUUUAUUUUUGCCCUCACUGGCCUCCAAGUUUUCUAGGAUGAUGCAAUGUCCAGCCAUCAACACAUUUGUGAAGGAAUUUUUACUCCCCAAAAGAGCGCCCCCCCAUGGCAGGAGAAAAAAGUCCAUUUUUUCUUGUCCCCUAAGGCGAAAAUACACAUUGUUGAGUGUAACACCUGUACGCUUUGGCAAAAUGACACAAAAAUUGACACACACAUGUAUCUCAAUAAGAUCUACGAAAAAGUCCAUGCGCGCGUAUCUGUCAAAUGUACGGUUAAAGGGUUAUUCCGCAUUUUUUGCCGAUCCGCACACAUUGGAAUUUCGCUAACUCCUCCGAAGGCUUUCAUUCCACCGGUACCACAUUUGCUCAGGCCAAUCUACACCCCAUGGCCAUUAAAAGUUAUUCAAAUCAUGACGCUGCAUCCCACGGUUUAGGUUCUAGGGGGCGCCAAAGAUAACCCUAAAAUCCACAUAUUUAAAAGUCUUAUAACUUUUUAUUUUUGUCCUCACUGGCCUCCAAGUUUUCUAGGAUGAUGCAAUGUCCAGCCAUCAACACAUUUGUGAAGGAAUUUUUACUCCCCAAAAGAGCGCCCCCCCAUGGCAGGAAAAAAAAGCCAAUUUUUUCUUGUCCCCUAAGGUGGAAAUUCACACUAUUGACUGUCACGCCUGUACGCUUUAUCAUAUUGACACAAAAAUUGACACACAUAUGUAUCUCAAUAAGAUCUACAAAAGAGUCGAUUAGCGCGUAUCUGUCAAAUGUACGGUUAAAGGGCUAUUUUGCAUUUUUUGCCGAUUCGCACACAUUGGAAUGUGGCUAACUCCUCCUAAGGCUUUCGUCCCACUGACACCAAAUUUGCUCAGGCCAAUCUACACCCCAUGGCCAUUCGAAGUUGUAAAAAUCAUGACGCUGCACCCCACGGUUUACGUUCUAGGGGGCGCCAAAGAUGACCCAAAAAUCCACAUAUUUCAAAGAAUCCACAUCCCCCCCCCCCCCCCAUAUGGCAGGAGAAAAAGUUUUUUCCUGCCCAUCGCUCAAUGGCUCAAUCGCAUCGCUCUCCAGGCAACACCGUAAGGAGGAGCAACCUGCCAUUUCGAUAUAUCAUAGCUGUGUUUGUGCCCUCACUCAUGGUCCAGACUUUUUUCAAAUAGGACAUGAAGUUUGUCUGCAGCGAGUGUUUUGGUAGAAACUGCGCCUCCCAUUCAUUAUAAUAGGAAAUGACCACAGACAAGUGCGCACACCAUCUUUGGAUCUUGAGUGUGACGCGAUCGGGAGGGGGAGGCGGUCGCACUGGGGGCGGCGCGACACGGCUCGGGCCCGACAGUGCCCCAACGGGGUCCUAGUUAUUAUUUUUCCUCCCCUUUGAACUGGAAAAUGGCCCACUUCCCACUGGCGAAAACUCAUGAAAUUUGGCAGGACGACCGGGCCUGGUGAAAAAUUUGAUAUUCUGAAGUCGCCCAAACAAUACAAUGCAAAAUGGCUCCAUAGCGCCCCCUAAGGUGAAAAAUUCACCUGACGCCUGUACGCUUUGUCAAAAUGACACAAAAAUUGACACACACAUGUAUCUCAAUAAGAUCUACAAAAAAGUCAGUGCGGGCGUAUCUGUCAAAUGUACGGUUAAAGGGUUAUUUCGCAUUUUUUGCCGAUCCGCACACAUUGGAAUUUCGCUAACUCCUCCGAAGGCUUUCGUUCCACCGGCACCACAUUUGCUCAGGCCAAUCUACACCCCAUGGCCAUUAAAAGUUAUUCAAAUCAUGACGCUGCACCCCACGGUUUAUGUUCUAGGGGGCGCCAAAGAUAACCCUAAAAUCCACAUAUUUCAAAGUCUUAUAACUUUUUAUUUUUGCCCUCACUGGCCUCCAAGUUUUCUAGGAUGAUGCAAUGUCCAGCCAUCAACACAUUUGUGAAGGAAUUUUUACUCCCCAAAAGAGCGCCCCCCCAUGGCAGGAGAAAAAAGUCCAUUUUUUCUUGUUCCAUAAGGUGAAAAUUCACACUAUUGACUGUCACGCCUGUACGCUUUGUCAAAAUUACACAAAAAUUGACACACACAUGUAUCUCAAUAAGAUCUACAAAAAAGUCAGUGCGGGCGUAUCUGUCAAAUGUACGGUUAAAGGGUUAUUGCGCAUUUUUUGCCGAUCCGCACACAUUGGAAUUUCGCUAACUCCUCCGAAGGCUUUCGUUCCACCGGCACCACAUUUGCUCAGGCCAAUCUACACCCCAUGGCC